GCUAAAUGAAGCUGAAUCUUUCCACCACAAAGCUCACCAUUUCCAUCAAUUGACAAGUCAGUUGCAUUUGCAAAAACACCUCCUUUUGGCACUUCACCUUGCAGAUGAUUGAAGGACAAAUCCAGUUUUGACAAGGAAGACAAAUUCUGUAGACCUGUGGGGAUAAGACCUGACAAGUUAUUGUGUGCUAGGUACAAUUGUUGCAGGUUGCCAAUAGUAGCAAGGGCAUCAGGAAUACUACCUGACAGCUUAUUAAUGGUCAGGUUCAGUAAAGCAAGACCUUUUAAAUUCUCGAGAGAUUGAGUUAUGCUUCGCUCAAAUAAGUUCUGAUCCAACAACAGCUGAUCCAACGAUACACAUUUCGCAAUACAAUCAGGUAUAUUGCCUGAGAAUUGGUUUCCUGACAAAAUCAGUUGGUUAAUGCUUGCCAAGUUGGCAACUUCAGUAGGAAGUGGCCCAGACAAUGAAUUGUAUGAUAAGUCUAAGCAGAUAGAGUUUAGAUAGUUUUAACACCUCUAUUGGAAUCGAGCCAUUGAGUCGAUUUGUUGACAGAUCGAGGACAGCCAGAUUGUUCAACUUUCCAAGGCUUGUUGGAAUUGGCCCCUCCGAGUUGCCAUAGUAUGGAUAAAGGCUAUUCAACUGUGUAAGGUUUCCUACUGAUGAAGGUAUAAGGCCUGACACGAUAGUGUUGUAAAAGCCUAACACAACCAAGUUUCUUAGCUGACCAAUGCUCUCUGGAAUUGGUCCAGAUACAGAAGUAUUUGCCAUCUCAAGUGUUUUAAGACCAACCAAGUUGCCGACAUUCAAUGGAAUAACCCCAGAAAUCCUAUUGUUUCCCAAACAAAGAGCUUGGAGAGUUGUCGACAGGUUACUGAUUGAACUAGGAAGUUGCCAGCUGAAAGAGUUUUUGGCAAGGACCAGAAGCUGAAGCUUGGUGCAGUUUGCCAUCGAAGUGAUGAAUUCCCACCCAUGUCUAUGGUUUGCUUCAAGCUUGUUGUCAUUCAAGGACAGAUAGAUUGGAGAGUGAGGUUGGGAUAGAUCCACUGAAUCGGUUGUCAGCAAAGCUAAGAAUUUUGAUGCUGGGGAACCGACCGCCAAUAUCAGCAGGAAUAGUUCCAGACAGCAUAUUUUCUUGUACCUCAAAGUCUCUCAGCAAGGACAGAUUGUACAGGAAGUGUGGAAGCACGCCAUAAAUGUAGACUGAACUAUUUGAUCUACUCAUAUGGUUGUUUCACAACACAUUGAUUGAUGGCUCUGUUGUUUCUUCCAAAUUCCCAUCCAGCAAGCUGCCGUGACAGUGGCAACAUUGAGGUAUGCAUCUCUGAUUGCAUGCAUCUGCACGGCUGCAUCUUGCACAACCAUUCGCUCUCUUGGCCACUUCUUUGAGCAGGACACACCAAGCCCAAUCACAGAAACCAGAAGCUAGGCUUUCCCCUCCUUGUCUGAAGGUGUUCCUCCUUGUAGUGAUGCUAGUUUCCUGGGUUGGGCUUGUAGGAUGGUGUAGUUGGGUGUUGGUGGUUCCUGGUAAUGUUCUUUUCUGUAUGAACUGGAUCAGUUGACGUUAUCUGAUGGUAUAUUGGCGGUGCCUAUUUAAAUCUUGGUCA